GACGAACGCUGGCGGCGUGCUUAACACAUGCAAGUCGAACGGAAAGGCCCUGCUUGCAGGGUACUCGAGUGGCGAACGGGUGAGUAACACGUGGGUGAUCUGCCCUGCACUUCGGGAUAAGCCUGGGAAACUGGGUCUAAUACCGGAUAGGAGCCAUUUUUAGUGUGAUGGUUGGAAAGUUUUUUCGGUGUAGGAUGAGCUCGCGGCUUAUCAGCUUGUUGGUGGGGUAAUGGCCUACCAAGGCGGCGACGGGUAGCCGGCCUGAGAGGGUGGACGGCCAAAUUGGGAUGGGGGAACGGCCCAGCCUCCAACGGGGGGCAGCGGUGGGGAAUUUUGCAAAAUGGGGGAAAGCCUGAUGCAGGGACGCCGCGUGGGGGAUGACGGCCUUCGGGUUGUAAACUCCUUUCGCUGGGGACGAAGCUUUUUGUGACGGUACCAAGAUAAGAAGCACCGGCUAACUACGU
rnacentral:rRNA from 1 species